GAGUUCAUAUCGACGGCGGUGUUUGGCACCUCGAUGUCGGCUCAUCACAUCCUGGGGCUGAAGCCGGUCCCAAGGGUAUGGCUGUUCGCCAUUUAAAGUGGUACGCGAGCUGGGUUUAGAACGUCGUGAGACAGUUCGGUCCCUAUCUGCCGUGGACGUUUGAGAUUUGAGAGGGGCUGCUCCUAGUACGAGAGGACCGGAGUGGACGAACCUCUGGUGUUCCGGUUGUCACGCCAGUGGCAUUGCCGGGUAGCUAUGUUCGGAAAAGAUAACCGCUGAAAGCAUCUAAGCGGGAAACUUGCCUCAAGAUGAGAUCUCACUGGGAACUUGAUUCCCCUGAAGGGCCGUCGAAGACUACGACGUUGAUAGGCUGGGUGUGUAAGCGUUGUGAGGCGUUGAGCUAACCAGUACUAAUUGCCCGUGAGGCUUGACCAUAUAACACCCAAACA
rnacentral:rRNA from 1 species